GGAUAAUAUGGCAAAUAUUAGAAUAUUCUUUUGUCAAUUUAAAUAACUGUGUGUGUUCUGUGCAUUUUAUCUUCUGCAGAAAACAUGCACGACACGUUUUGCGCCAAAAAUUUAUCCGCUUCAGGAUUACUAGGAUGCAUUAUGCCUUUUCUCCCCUUUAGGAAAUAAAGGAAUGUUAUGUUCUGAAUGAUAUAUUACUGCAAUGACUCUGCGGAUGGAAGGAUGCUUAUUCCAAGUUUGAUUCUAUCUAUUGUAGAUCUUUUCCAUCAGCAUGUUGCUGUCAUCCAUAUCAGCUCAAAAUGCAAUUAUGUUCCAAUUUCCCAAAAAUCAAGUGUGGAUGACAGAUUACCG
rnacentral:misc_RNA from 1 species